UGGACGACCCCGGAAGCUGCAGUGCCAGCGGCGGCGCGGCAGGGGGCGCGGUUACCCGUGGUUUUUCGCGUUGGACGACGGGCUCUGAGGGCCAAGUUCUUGUCACGAAUUUAGUUUGUUUCAGAGCGGCAGGACUCGUAGCUAGAGAACGAGGACCCACGACGCGUACGCGUUACAGUCCUGUUUCCCUAGAAACGGAGCUGCCGGCGCGGAGGUGGCUUUGAGAUUCUGCGAAAGACCUGACUGCUCUUCAACAAUUAUUGUGUUGCACCCUCCCAGGCGCCCAGUCCAAACCCCGUCAGAAUAACCACCCGGGACAGCGGUGGUCGAAGUAACUACGCCUAACUUUUCGCUUUCCAUCGUGUCCCCUCCAUAAAAACACUGCUGGGCCCCCGGAAUCCAAAGGCGAAGGAGGCACACUCCCUGCCUUAGACUUGUUGAGAGUUUUAUAGGGGCAGUGCAUAACGUACAUGAUGGUGUAUGACGAUUCGGAUGGUAGUACGAGUCAUAAACUCAAAUUCCAACAGCAUCCAGCCAGGACUUUUAAAAUUCCUUGCAACGCAAGUCUACUGGUGACAAAUUCCCUCAAAUUUUGUUUGCCUGAGAAAGUCUUUCGCCCUCACUGUUGAAGGAUAAUUUCACUGGAUACAGAAUUCUAGAGCUGGGAUCUCACUAUGCUGCCUGGGCUGGUCUUGAACUCCUGGGCUCAAACGAUCCUCCUGCCAUGGUCUCCAAAAGUGCUAGGAUUACAGGGACCCUGGGUCAUGGCUGAAGCAGUGAGGAAUAGUAAAAAGAGUGCUGGAAAUCCGGAGCCUCAGAUUUUAGUCUACUGAUGAGACUGACUGGCUGUGUUUUCCAGUUAAGCUUGGUCACAUCUGUGGGCCUCAGCUUUCUCAGCCAUAGAAUCAUGAGAUGGAGUCUUACUCUGUCGGCUCACUGCAACCUCCACCUCCGGAGUUAAAUUGAUUCUCCUGCCUCAGCCUCCCGAGUAGUUGGGAUUACAGGUGACUGACACCAUGCCUGGCUAAUCUUUGUAUUUUUAGUAGAGACAGAGUUUUGCCAUAUUGGCCAGGCUGGUCUUGAAUUGCUGACCUUGGGAUCUCCCCGCCUCGGCCUCCCAAAGUGCCAGGAUUACAGGCCUGAGCCACUGCACCCAGCCAAUAUUUUAUUUUUUCUUGCUAUGGAGUCUCACUCUAUCACCCAGGUGGGAGUGCAGUGGCGUGAUCUUGGCUCACUGCAACCUUUGCCUCCUGGGCUCAAAUGAUCCUCUAUCCUCAGCCUCCUGAGUAGCUGGGACUACAGGCGUAUGCCGUC
ensembl:lncRNA novel transcript